GACGAACGCUGGCGGCGUGCUUAACACAUGCAAGUCGAACGGAAAGGCCCGGCUUUUGUGGGAUGCUCGAGUGGCGAAAGGGUGAGUAACACGUGAGUGACCUGUCCUUGACUUUGGGAUAACUUCAGGGAACUGGGGCGAAUACCGGAUAGGAGCUCCUGCUGCAUGGUGGGUGAUGGAAAGUUUCGGCGGUUGAGGAUGGACUCGCGGCUUAUCAGCUUGUUGGUGAGGUAGUGGCUUACCGAGGCUCUGAGGGGUAGCCGGCCUGAGAGGGUGACAGGCCACAUUGGGACUGAGAUGCGACCCGGACUCCUACGGGAGGCAGCAGUGGGGAAUAUUGCACAAUGGGCGGAAGCCUGAUGCAGCAACGCCGCGUGCGGGAUGACGGCCUUCGGGUUGUAAACCGCUUUAGCCUGGGACGAAGCGUGAGUGACGGUAAUGGGUAAAGAAGCACCGGCUAACUACGUG
rnacentral:rRNA from 1 species